rnacentral:lncRNA from 10 species
GUGACGUGUCGGUUUGCGGACCCACGGGGAGUCGCAGUGGGAAGGCGCGGCCCACUGACUCCCGUCAUGUGACAAGAAGCGGAAACUACGCUGAAAUAGGCCCUUGCUCCAAGUCCCAGUAACUCGGAAUGCGGAGCCGCUCGUCUCCCGUCUUUUUUAAGUGCACUGGUACCAUCAUAGUUCACUACUGCUUCAUACUCCCAGACUCAAGCAAUCCUGCCUCCUUGGUCUCCCAAAGUGCUGAGAUUACAGCUGUGAGCCACCUCCCCUGGCCAUAAAG